AACGCGAAGAACCUUACCAAGGCUUGACAUAUACAGGAAUACGGCAGAGAUGUCGUAGCCGCAAGGUCUGUAUACAGGUGGUGCAUGGUUGUCGUCAGCUCGUGUCGUGAGAUGUUGGGUUAAGUCCCGCAACGAGCGCAACCCUCGUCCUGUGUUACCAGCAUUUAGUUGGGCACUCUAAUGAGACUGCCGGUGACAAACCGGAGGAAGGUGGGGAUGACGUCAAGUCCUCAUGGCCCUUAUGGGUAGGGCUUCACACGUCAUACAAUGGUCGGUACAGAGGGUUGCCAAGCCGCGAGGUGGAGCCAAUCCCAGAAAGCCGAUCGUAGUCCGGAUCGUAGUCUGCAACUCGACUACGUGAAGUCGGAAUCGCUAGUAAUCGCGGAUCAGAAUGCCGCGGUGAAUACGUUCCCGGGUCUUGUACACACCG
rnacentral:rRNA from 1 species